UAAUUUUCAUUGAUUGAUUCAUUAUUAUUUUAGAAAGAAUUUAUAUCGAAUUUAUUGACUCAUUUAAAUCUUAAAAGUCUAUAAAAUACUUCAAAAUCUCAAAAGUCUGUGUCAUAAAGUCUCACAAAUUCUUGUGUUAAGAAUCUUGAUUGAAAAAGUCAUUCAAAAAAGUCUUCUAAAAUCUCAUAAAAUCAAUACAAUCUCACAAAGUCUUUUAAAAUCUUCA
rnacentral:lncRNA from 1 species